UUUUAGAGUCCUCUUUUUUUUGAAUGAGAGUAAGAGUAGAUAAUAAAAAGCAUUUAAGAUCACAUUGUGAAUUUUUAAAAUCAUGAACAACCAUAAGAAGUGAAUCCUUAAUUUCUGCCCAAAACUGCUGAUAGAAAAAGAGAGGAAAGCCAUCUGGCCCUGGGGCCUUAUCACCAUUGAGUCCAAAGACAGCAUACCUUAAUUCCUCUUCAGUAACUAAAGUGUCCAAGUUAUUUUCUUCCAAUCCACCAUUGCCUCUCAACACCCAUUCCUCAGCUAGAAACCUCCAUCCUCUAGAUGUACCCAAAAGGUUUUUAUAGAAUUUAAAAAAUCCUUCUCAUCAUCAACAAUUUGCCCAUCAACUUCUAUAUUACUGACCCAAUUUUUCUUUCUCCUCAUAUUAGCAACACUAUAAAAGUAUUUUGUGUUUUUAUCUCCUUCUUUCAACCUGCCCUUGACCUCUGUCUCCACAUUAUUUCCUCUUCCUUGACCACCUGAUUGAAAUUAUGGUUAUAAUCAUUCAUC
rnacentral:lncRNA from 1 species